rnacentral:rRNA from 1 species
AUGGCUCAGGACGAACGCCUGGCGGCGUGCUUAACACAUGCAAGUCGAACGAGACGAUUUAGAAGCUUGCUUUUAUUGAGUCGAGUGGCAAACGGGUGAGUAACGCGUAGACAACCUGCCGCAAAGAUGGGGACAACAGUCCGAAAGGACUGCUAAUACCGAAUGUUGUAUCUUCUCCGCAUGGAAGAGAUAUUAAAGAUGGCCUCUACUUGUAAGCUAUCGCUUUGCGAUGGGUCUGCGUCUGAUUAGCUAGUUGGUGGGGCAACGGCCUACCAAGGCGACGAUCAGUAGCCGGUCUGAGAGGAUGAACGGCCACAUUGGAACUGAGACACGGUCCAGACUCCUACGGGAGGCAGCAGUGGGGAAUCUUCCGCAAUGGGCGAAAGCCUGACGGAGCAACGCCGCGUGAGUGAAGAAGGUCUUCGGAUCGUAAAGCUCUGUUGUCGGGGACGAAUGUUGAGAUUUAGAAUAUAGGUUUCAAAUGACGGUACCUGACGAGGAAGCCACGGCUAACUACGUGCCAGCAGCCGCGGUAAUACGUAGGUGGCGAGCGUUGUCCGGAAUUAUUGGGCGUAAAGGGAGCGCAGGCGGGAAGGUAAGUCUAUCUUAAAAGUGCGGGGCUCAACCCCGUGAGGGGAUAGAAACUAUCAUUCUUGAGUGCAGGAGAGGAAAGCGGAAUUCCUAGUGUAGCGGUGAAAUGCGUAGAUAUUAGGAGGAACACCAGUGGCGAAGGCGGCUUUCUGGACUGUAACUGACGCUGAGGCUCGAAAGCCAGGGGAGCGAACGGGAUUAGAUACCCCGGUAGUCCUGGCCGUAAACGAUGAAUGCUAGGUGUAGGAGGUAUCGACCCCUCCUGUGCCGGAGUUAACGCAAUAAGCAUUCCGCCUGGGGAGUACGGCCGCAAGGCUGAACUCAAAGGAUUGAC